rnacentral:rRNA from 1 species
GACGAACGCUGGCGGCGUGCUUAACACAUGCAAGUCGAGCGGUAAGGCCCUUUCGGGGGUACACGAGCGGCGAACGGGUGAGUAACACGUGGGUGACCUGCCCUUAGCUCUGGGAUAAGCCUGGGAAACUGGGUCUAAUACCGGAUAUGACUCCAUGACGCAUGUUGUGGGGUGAAAGCCUUGUGCGGCUAGGGAUGGGCCCGCGGCCUAUCAGCUUGUUGGUGGGGUGAUGCCCUACCAAGGCGACGACGGGUAGCCGGCCUGAGAGGGCGACCGGCCACACUGGGGACUGAGACACGGCCCAGACUCCUACGGGAGGCAGCAGUGGGGAAUCUUGCGCAAUGGGCGAAAGCCUGACGCAGCGACGCCGCGUGGGGAUGACGG